GUCAAACUCAUUGUCUGUGAUAUUUUGUUUUUUUCCUUUCAAUUAAGACCCAGACAACUAGGUAAGGAACCAGGGAAGUUCCUUACUAAGACCUAGACAACCAGGUGAGGGGAGUUCCUUACUAAGACCUAGACAACCAGGUAAGGGGAGUUCCUUACUAAGACCUAGACAACCAGGUGAGGGAAGUUCCUUACUAAGACCUAGACAACCAGGUGAGGGGAGUUCCUUACUAAGACCCAGACAACCAGGUGAGGGGAGUUCCUUACUAAGACCUAGACAACCAGGUGAGGGGAGUUCCUUACUAAGACCCAGACAACCAGGUGAGGGGAAUUCUUUACUAAGACCUACCAGGUGAGGGGUGUUCCUUACUAAGACCUAGACAACAAGGUGAGGGGAGAUCUUUACUAAGACCCAGACAACCAGGUGAGGGGAGUUCCUUACCUAGACCUACCAGGUGAGGGGAGUUCUUUACUAAUUAGAGACCUUAAUUCAUCGAGUACAAGCCCCCCAGGAUCGACUUUGUGAAACCCUGCGCUAGAGUCCAAUGUCACCUCUAUUAGCAAUGACUAACCAACCAGCUGACGCUUUGUCCUACUUCUGAGUGAGAAUGAGUCACCUGUGCUCCCAAAACAGACCACUAGAUGGCAGUAAAUGUCCCUAUAUUCAUACCUUGCUUUAUUGUUUGCACUGUAGGGUACUAAGGGGUAACUGCCCCCCCCCACCCCCCUGUAAUUCCACAAGAUGUCACCAAAUUAUUUCCCCACCACUUCCCUUGCUGCCACUGCUCUUGCUCAACAAAAAUGUCCUCAAUGACAUCACAACCUUUGGAGAUAUUUCAACAAAACUAUUUUGUGGUAAAUUGAUCAAGUUGUAGAUAUAUUCCAAUGAAGUGAGAUCUAUACUUGUUUUUUAAAAUAUACAAGUAGGAAAGCCUUAAGCUAAAUAAUACUCUUGUUUAGAGAGAACAAUGUCUAUAAUUUUUUUGUAAACUAGUAAUAUGUUGGGUGAGUGUGUUGGGCACCCCCCCCCAACACACACACUUGGUUUAUUUUUAGGUUUAUGUUUAUGAAUGUGUUUUUACCUGUCAUUUAGACAAUGACUACCCUAGUUAGCACUAGUUUAUGCUAACUUGCUAGCUAGCAACUUCACUAGCAGUAAAUGCUAGCCAGCGAUCUAGUUAGCAUAAGCUGCUAUGGGUACUAGGUAGCAACCUUACUACCAGAUCGAUCGUCUGAGGUGAAAUACAUCACAAAGAUAACGUAACUUAAUUGCAGUUGUAAAAUGUAUCCACCAGUGACUGAUAACUUUAUAGUUAAUGUUACUUUAAUAGCAUUUUAGCUAUUUUACACAGCAUUUUAUGUCAUAUAGCUAGAUAGCUGGCUACGUAAAAAAUAAACACUUUUCAAUUGGUAUCUCUCCCCUUGUUUUCAGUCACAGAUGGGGACUGGAUUAGGUGUGAGCAGUGCAGGAGGUGGCCUCGUGAAUUGUGCUCCAAUUUUACUGGGGAUCGCUUCAUUUGUGACCUAUGUGCAAAUUAGAAUCGUGCAAUAGCAGAGCAUAAGAAAGUGGCCACAUCAAUGUUACGC
ensembl:lncRNA